GGCCGCCUACGGGACGCAGCAGUGGGGAAUAUUGCACAAUGGGGGAAACCCUGAUGCAGCGACGCCGCGUGAGUGAAGAAGUAUUUCGGUAUGUAAAGCUCUAUCAGCAGGGAAGAUAAUGACGGUACCUGACUAAGAAGCCCCGGCUAACUACGUGCCAGCAGCCGCGGUAAUACGUAGGGGGCAAGCGUUAUCCGGAUUUACUGGGUGUAAAGGGUGCGUAGGUGGCAGGGCAAGUCAGAUGUGAAAGCCCGGGGCUCAACCCCGGUACUGCAUUUGAAACUGCCAUGCUAGAGUGCUGGAGG
rnacentral:rRNA from 1 species